AGUAACACAAAGCUCCUAACGUAGACAAUAGAGAAUAACGUGCCGCGGAUAAUUGCAUGUCAUGGUUUUGAAGUUGGUAACAAGCAAACGGUCAUACGGUACUGCGGCUGAGUGAAACUGAACGCUAAAAGUGGCGGGAGCAGGACGGUUGUCCGUUCUUUGUAUUUAUGGCUUGCAUGAUGGCGGCGUGCGUCCGUGCGUAUUGCCGCAGUUUGAUGUACAAGUGAGAGACAUGGACGGCAGUAUAGUUUCAGGGUUCGUUAUGAAGACGUUUGACAAGUUGCUAAGUUGAGAAGUUGUUUGAGAACUCGCUACCAAUGGCUGAGUCCAGAACAACACUGGGAUCAGUCAAUGAAGGAUUUGCCAAGUUACAGCAGCCUCCUAUCCAUCACAAGCUUUUGGCCUGAACGCAGACAUGGUAAGCUGU